AUCGAUGGGAGAAAGCUGUCGGAGAUGCCCACACCACGGCCGCCGCUGUGGAGCCUGCUGCCUUCCUUUCGGCAUCUGGUCUCCAUCGGUUAUAAUACGAAGAAGGGCGACAUCUGAGCACUUCGUUAAUUCCCCCUCCCCCUCUCUCUCUUUUGUUAAAUAAUCCCUCCCGCUUUAUGGAGUGCUUAGAAGCUACAUGUCCCACUGUUUUUUUUUAUAUAUCUCAAUUAUAUUUUCCUCUUUAUUAUUUUAUCCUAAUUAAAUAGAAGAUAACACCCAUCUUGAUACUCGUGAUGGGUGAGACUCUCUUAGCGUCGUUCGAUAAUUC
rnacentral:lncRNA from 1 species